rnacentral:rRNA from 1 species
GGGGAAUAUUGGACAAUGGGGGGAACCCUGAUCCAGCCAUGCCGCGUGUGUGAAGAAGGCCUUUUGGUUGUAAAGCACUUUAAGCAGUGAAGAAGACUCUUCGGUUAAUACCCGGGGACGAUGACAUUAGCUGCAGAAUAAGCACCGGCUAACUCUGUGCCAGCAGCCGCGGUAAUACAGAGGGUGCAAGCGUUAAUCGGAAUUACUGGGCGUAAAGCGAGCGUAGGUGGCUUGAUAAGUCAGAUGUGAAAUCCCCGGGCUUAACCUGGGAACUGCAUCUGAAACUGUUAGGCUAGAGUAGGUGAGAGGGAAGUAGAAUUUCAGGUGUAGCGGUGAAAUGCGUAGAGAUCUGAAGGAAUACCGAUGGCGAAGGCAGCUUCCUGGCAUCAUACUGACACUGAGGCUCGAAAGCGUGGGUAGCAAAC